UACGUAGGUGGCAAGCGUUAUCCGGAAUUAUUGGGCGUAAAAGGCUUGUAGGUGGCCACGCGAAGUCCGAUGUGAAAUCUCCCGGCUCAACUGGGAAACUGCAUCGGAAACUGAUCGGCUUGAAGGUGGGAGAGGGUAGUGGAAUUCCCGGUGUAGUGGUGAAAUGCGUAGAUAUCGGGAGGAACACCAGUGGCGAAGGCGACUACCUGGCCCAUUCUUGACGCUGAGGCGCGAAAGCUAGGGGAGCGAACGGG
rnacentral:rRNA from 1 species